UACGUAGGUGACAAGCGUUAUCCGGAAUUACUGGGCGUAAAGCGCACGCAGGCGGCGCGCUAAGUCUGACGUGAAAUCUCUCGGCUUAACCGGGAGGGGUCGUUGGAGACUGGCGGGCUUGAGGCGAUGAGAGGGGUGUAGAAUUCCCGGUGUAGUGGUGGAAUGCGUAGAUAUCGGGAGGAAUACCAGUGGCGAAAGCGGCACCCUGGCAUUAGCCUGACGCUCAGGUGCGAAAGCGUGGGGAGCGAACGGG
rnacentral:rRNA from 2 species